rnacentral:rRNA from 1 species
CGUAGGUGCAAGCGUUGUCCGGAAUUAUUGGGCGUAAAGAGCUCGUAGGCGGUUUGUCGCGUCUGCUGUGAAACUGGAGGCUCAACCUCCAGCCUGCAGUGGGUACGGGCAGACUAGAGUGCGGUAGGGGAGAUUGGAAUUCCUGGUGUAGCGGUGGAAUGCGCAGAUAUCAGGAGGAACACCGAUGGCGAAGGCAGAUCUCUGGGCCGUAACUGACGCUGAGGAGCGAAAGCAUGGGGAGCGAACAGGAUU